GUCCGAAAAUACUUGUCCUAGAAAUGAAUACUUGUCCUAGAAAUGAAUGAAUCUAGACUUAUUUUAGUUAUAGAUACAUUCAUUAUAUUCAUUUUUAGGACAAGUAUUUCCGGACGGAGGGAGUAUUUU
rfam:Hordeum vulgare subsp. vulgare, WGS project CAJW01000000 data, contig: morex_contig_242686